GAUGAACGCUAGCGGGAGGCUUAACACAUGCAAGUCGAGGGGCAGCACAAGGAGCAAUCUGAGGUGGCGACCGGCGCACGGGUGAGUAACACGUAUGCAACCUACCUGUAAGAGGGGAAUAACCCGUUGAAAAACGGACUAAUACCGCAUAACACUGUAGAACCGCAUGGUUUGACAGUUAAACAUUUAUGGCUUACAGAUGGGCAUGCGCAUGAUUAGCUAGUUGGUGAGGUAACGGCUCACCAAGGCAACGAUCAUUAGGGGUUCUGAGAGGAAGGUCCCCCACACUGGUACUGAGACACGGACCAGACUCCUACGGGAGGCAGCAGUAAGGAAUAUUGGUCAAUGGAGGCAACUCUGAACCAGCCAUGCCGCGUGCAGGAUGACGGCCCUAUGGGUUGUAAACUGCUUUUGUACCAGAGAAAACCUAUCUACGUGUAGAUAGCUGAUAGUAUGGUAAGAAUAAGCAUCGGCUAACUUCGUG
rnacentral:rRNA from 1 species